GCAUUGAUGGGUCAGUGGUAGAAUUCUCACUUUCCAUAUGGGAGAUCCGAGUUCAGUUCUCGGCCAAAGCA
rnacentral:tRNA from 1 species